GCCGAGGACAAGCUUCUUUGCGAGUGUUGGAGAGACAUUGGGCAAGACCCCAAGACUGGAGCCGAACAAAAGCAUUCAACUUUUUGGAUUUGUGUCCACCGUGAGUUCCAUGAGCGCAAGAAGUUUCCGUCGUACCAAAUAGUAAGCACACAUGGGUGGGUGUCCAUUUCGAAGCGAUGGAGGGUGAUCCAACAAGAGCGCAACAAGUUUUGUGUCUCUCUUGAGAGCGUCAAGGCCUGCCCCGUGAGCGGCAUCGGCAUGCAAGACAUGCUAUGCUAG
rnacentral:rRNA from 1 species